UCUGGUUGAUCCUGCCAGUAGUCAUAUGCUUGUCUUAAAGAUUAAGCCAUGCAUGUCUAAGUAUAAGCACUUGUACUGUGAAACUGCGAAUGGCUCAUUAUAUCAGUUAUAAUUUAUUUGAUGGUCAUUUACUUGGAUAACCGUGGUAAAUCUAGAGCUAAUACAUGCAUAAAAUCCUGACUGGGAACGGAAAGGAUGUAUUUAUUAGAUACAAAAACCAAUGCAUCAGGCCUUCACGGGCUUGGUGGAAAACAUGGUGAUUCAUGAUAACUUUACGAAUCGUGUGGUCUCGUACCGACGAUAGUUCAUUCAAAUUUCUGCCCUAUCAACUUUCGAUGGUAGUAUAGAGGACUACCAUGGUGGUAACGGGUAACGGAGAAUCAGGGUUUGAUUCCGGAGAAGGAGCCUGAGAAACGGCUACUACUUCCAGGGAAGGCAGCAGGCGCGCAAAUUACCCAAUCCCGGCACGGGGAGGUAGUGACAAAAAAUAACAAUACCGGUCUUAUAUAAGUCUGGUAAUUGGAAUGAGUACAAUCUAAACCCCUUAACGAGUUUCAAUUGGAGGGCAAGUCUGGUGCCAGCAGCCGCGGUAAUUCCAGCUCCAAUAGCAUAUAUUAAAGUUGUUGCAGUUAAAAAGCUCGUAGUUGGAUUUUAGAGUUUACUUAGUAGAGUCCGCUUGAAUGAGUGUGUAUUUUACUAGUAGCUCUCCUUACUAGAUAUUCACGAUCGUUCUUAAUUGAGUGGUUGUUCUUGCUCGCAAGGGUGAGGUGCUUGGUGGGUCUGGGAGUUGAGAUGUGGUGUUUUUACGGGGCAACCUGUGGGAACAUCUGCUUGGCUAACUUCCAUCGAGUAGAAUUCUAGUUCAUUUACUUUGAGUAAAUUAGAGUGUUCAAAGCAAACGUACAUUUUGUAAUGAAUACUAUUAGCAUGGGAUAAUGGAACAGGACGUUGGUUCUAUUUUAUUGGUUUCUAGAACUAAUGUAAUGAUUAAAAGGGAUAGUUGGGGGCAUUAGUAUUUAAUUGUCAGAGGUGAGAUUCUUGGAUUUAUGAAAGACUAACUUCUGCGAAAGCAUUUGUCAAGGAUGUUUUCAUUAAUCAAGAACGAAAGUUAGGGGAUCGAAGACGAUCAGAUACCGUCGUAGUCUUAACCAUAAACUAUGCCGACCAGGGAUUGGAAGACGUUAAUUUAAAAAAUAGGACUCCUCCAGCACCUUACGAGAAAUCACAAGUUUUUGGGUUCUGGGGGGAGUAUGGUCGCAAGGCUGAAACUUAAAGGAAUUGACGGAAGGGCACCACCAGGAGUGGAGCCUGCGGCUUAAUUUGACCCAACACGGGAAAACUUACCAGGUCCAGACACAGUUAGGAUUGACGC
rnacentral:rRNA from 1 species